rnacentral:lncRNA from 12 species
UGCUGUUCUUAAGACAGUGAGAAUGCAGUGAAGUUUAGGAGGAAAUAUUCAUCCCCUUAGAGCUAAGCUAGGAGCAGGCAGGGUAGAAGAGCCCAAUGAGCAGCAUUACUACGAACUCGAGCCCAUUCCCAGUGCCCUGACCUCAGUGCUGCAGACUCACUCCUGCUCUUCACUGACCUGAAAACCUGCUGGAGCCACGGCUCGGCCUCUGCCACCUGCAGCUCUGCCCUCCGCCCGCCCUGGGGCCACGUCCUGCAGAGGAGGGGACACCUCAGAGCCUCUGUCCCCUCUGUCCCUGGCAGCCCCCAGCCCAGCCCAGCCCCACGCUCGGCUCCGCCGUGUCCUUGGUGACAUUGUGACAUCGGCAGCUGCACUCCAGAUGCCGCUGGGGACGGCUGUCCUCUCCCAGCAAGACAAAUUGGAGGUGGCAUGUGGGGAAUGAUUGACACCACAUCAUUCAGCAAAUGCACCUCAAAGUUUAACCUGCACAGGAACAGCCAGAGCAGUUCAGCUGCUGAUGAAAACAGUCCUGGGUCCCUCCACCCACACAACCCAGCCUGGAUACACAGAAAGACACUUUGCAGUGCUGCCAGGUUCCCCAGAUCCUGGCAGGUGAGCUGCUACAGAAAACAGCACCUGCAAGGAAGGAAAAUCCUAAAUAGCUCCUUCUCCUGUGCCAGGUCAGGAUCUCUCCUCUCCUGUUGGAUUGCUCCAGGUUAAACUUCCAGCAAAAUAAACCUCAAUUUUCUCCACCAUGCUGCCUUCCAUUUGGGGGAAUUUUAACAAUUUGCUGGUAAAUCCAACUCUGAAGAGUUGUAGUGAUGACUAAUCACCAACAGACAUGUAGUCACAGCUGCUCAGAUAUUUAUUUCUUGUCUAAACCCAACUCUGAAUACUUAAGCACCUUAAUAGAAGGAGAAUAAUAAAUACAGUCCAAAUAUAGGCAGCAAUCCAACAGAGCCAUCACAGCUCUCUUAAAUCCCCCAUCUUUCAACAGCCCUCCCUGCAAUAGCUCUCACCAUUGUAUAACAAGAAUGUAGCAGAAAAGCAGAGGAGGAAGGACUGGCAUAGUUGCCAUAUUUACUGCUUUCACCUACUUCUUUAUUUUUUUUAAGCUCAGCACAUUCAGGUUUGUCUCAGAUUCUUUCCCUGUGCACAGCAAUCCCCCUGCUCCAACAGACAGAGAUAAAUCAAACCUGUCCCAGGCUGCUGGACAGGAGGGGGGAAGGGAAAGUUUACUGAUAAUUUGAGCUUUGGUUUUGUCUCACCUUGGAGGGGAGGAGAAUCCCAGGGUUAGGACAGAGAGCCCAGCCAAUGUGAGUAAAAACUCUGGGACCAAGUGUUCACCCAGGGAACAGCCAGGACGGGCACCUGGGCUUCCUGUUCCUAAGGGAAUCACAACAGAGUAAGAAGAAAAUACCCAAAAUACACAUAUCUGCUGCUAAACAGCUUUGGUUUAACUGGUGGAGUGGCUGCUCCGUUAAUGACAUCCCCAAGCAUCAAAAAUAAAGCUUGAUUGUACAUUCUAGGAAUCCAUUAAUUACCCACAGGGGAAUGGAAACAAAGAGAAUCUAUUUUUAAGCUACAUAUUGAUGUUUCUUAGAGGUUUUCCCCAUAUACUCAGUUGG